GGGUUGUGAGGUUAAGCGACUAAGCGUACACGGUGGAUGCCCUGGCAGUCAGAGGCGAUGAAGGGCGUGCUAAUCUGCGAUAAGCGCCGGUAAGGUGAUAUGAACCGUUAUAACCGGCGAUACCCGAAUGGGGAAACCCAGUGUGACUCGUCACACUAUCAUUAACUGAAUCCAUAGGUUAAUGAGGCGAACCGGGGGAACUGAAACAUCUAAGUACCCCGAGGAAAAGAAAUCAACCGAGAUUCCCCCAGUAGCGGCGAGCGAACGGGGAGGAGCCCAGAGCCUGAAUCAGCAUGUGUGUUAGUGGAAGCGUCUGGAAAGGCGCGCGAUACAGGGUGACAGCCCCGUACACAAAAGCGCAUGUGCUGUGAGCUCGAUGAGUAGGGCGGGACACGUGGUAUCCUGUCUGAAUAUGGGGGGACCAUCCUCCAAGGCUAAAUACUCCUGACUGACCGAUAGUGAACCAGUACCGUGAGGGAAAGGCGAAAAGAACCCCGGCGAGGGGAGUGAAAAAGAACCUGAAACCGUGUACGUACAAGCAGUGGGAGCGUGUGACUGCGUACCUUUUGUAUAAUGGGUCAGCGACUUAUAUUCUGUAGCAAGGUUAACCGAAUAGGGGAGCCGGAGGGAAACCGAGUCUUAACCGGGCGUUAAGUUGCAGGGUAUAGACCCGAAACCCGGUGAUCUAGCCAUGGGCAGGUUGAAGGUUGGGUAACACUAACUGGAGGACCGAACCGACUAAUGUUGAAAAAUUAGCGGAUGACCUGUGGCUGGGGGUGAAAGGCCAAUCAAACCGGGAGAUAGCUGGUUCUCCCCGAAAGCUAUUUAGGUAGCGCCUCGUGAAUUCAUCUCCGGGGGUAGAGCACUGUUUCGGCUAGGGGGCCAUCCCGGCUUACCAACCCGAUGCAAACUGCGAAUACCGGAGAAUGUUAUCACGGGAGACACACGGCGGGUGCUAACGUCCGUCGUGAAGAGGGAAACAACCCAGACCGCCAGCUAAGGUCCCAAAGUCAUGGUUAAGUGGGAAACGAUGUGGGAAGGCCCAGACAGCCAGGAUGUUGGCUUAGAAGCAGCCAUCAUUUAAAGAAAGCGUAAUAGCUCACUGGUCGAGUCGGCCUGCGCGGAAGAUGUAACGGGGCUAAACCAUGCACCGAAGCUGCGGCAGCGACACUGUGUGUUGUUGGGUAGGGGAGCGUUCUGUAAGCCUGUGAAGGUGUGUCGUGAGGCAUGCUGGAGGUAUCAGAAGUGCGAAUGCUGACAUAAGUAACGAUAAAGCGGGUGAAAAGCCCGCUCGCCGGAAGACCAAGGGUUCCUGUCCAACGUUAAUCGGGGCAGGGUGAGUCGACCCCUAAGGCGAGGCCGAAAGGCGUAGUCGAUGGGAAACGGGUUAAUAUUCCCGUACUUGGUGUUACUGCGAAGGGGGGACGGAGAAGGCUAUGUUGGCCGGGCGACGGUUGUCCCGGUUUAAGNNGACGAGGCACUACGGUGCUGAAGCAACAAAUGCCCUGCUUCCAGGAAAAGCCUCUAAGCAUCAGGUAACAUCAAAUCGUACCCCAAACCGACACAGGUGGUCAGGUAGAGAAUACCAAGGCGCUUGAGAGAACUCGGGUGAAGGAACUAGGCAAAAUGGUGCCGUAACUUCGGGAGAAGGCACGCUGACACGUAGGUGAAGUGAUUUACUCAUGGAGCUGAAGUCAGUCGAAGAUACCAGCUGGCUGCAACUGUUUAUUAAAAACACAGCACUGUGCAAACACGAAAGUGGACGUAUACGGUGUGACGCCUGCCCGGUGCCGGAAGGUUAAUUGAUGGGGUCAGCGCAAGCGAAGCUCCUGAUCGAAGCCCCGGUAAACGGCGGCCGUAACUAUAACGGUCCUAAGGUAGCGAAAUUCCUUGUCGGGUAAGUUCCGACCUGCACGAAUGGCGUAAUGAUGGCCAGGCUGUCUCCACCCGAGACUCAGUGAAAUUGAACUCGCUGUGAAGAUGCAGUGUACCCGCGGCAAGACGGAAAGACCCCGUGAACCUUUACUAUAGCUUGACACUGAACAUUGAGCCUUGAUGUGUAGGAUAGGUGGGAGGCUUUGAAGUGUGGACGCCAGUCUGCAUGGAGCCGACCUUGAAAUACCACCCUUUAAUGUUUGAUGUUCUAACGUGGACCCGUUACCCGGGUUGCGGACAGUGUCUGGUGGGUAGUUUGACUGGGGCGGUCUCCUCCUAAAGAGUAACGGAGGAGCACGAAGGUUGGCUAAUCCUGGUCGGACAUCAGGAGGUUAGUGCAAUGGCAUAAGCCAGCUUGACUGCGAGCGUGACGGCGCGAGCAGGUGCGAAAGCAGGUCAUAGUGAUCCGGUGGUUCUGAAUGGAAGGGCCAUCGCUCAACGGAUAAAAGGUACUCCGGGGAUAACAGGCUGAUACCGCCCAAGAGUUCAUAUCGACGGCGGUGUUUGGCACCUCGAUGUCGGCUCAUCACAUCCUGGGGCUGAAGUAGGUCCCAAGGGUAUGGCUGUUCGCCAUUUAAAGUGGUACGCGAGCUGGGUUUAGAACGUCGUGAGACAGUUCGGUCCCUAUCUGCCGUGGGCGCUGGAGAACUGAGGGGGGCUGCUCCUAGUACGAGAGGACCGGAGUGGACGCAUCACUGGUGUUCGGGUUGUCAUGCCAAUGGCACUGCCCGGUAGCUAAAUGCGGAAGAGAUAAGUGCUGAAAGCAUCUAAGCACGAAACUUGCCCCGAGAUGAGUUCUCCCUGAGACUUAGAGUCUCCUGAAGGAACGUUGAAGACGACGACGUUGAUAGGCCGGGUGUGUAAGCGCAGCGAUGCGUUGAGCUAACCGGUACUAAUGAACCGUGAGGCUUAACCUUACAACGCCGAAG
rnacentral:rRNA from 1 species